UAAUAAUAUGUCAUUAGUAUUAUGAUCAGGACAACUUUUACAAUAUGUUUGAGAACUAUGUCAAAGUUGAGGUAGGAAGGUUGAAGUGAAUUUGUCAAAAUCAAAAUAAUACUCGCGCCGAAGUGGGUAAUCAUUUGAUUUUUGUCGAGACUUAACUCAUCAUUAUGUUGGACAACGAACAAUAUUAUUAUUAUCCUUCAUUGAUAAUCGUCGAGACUUAACUCAGCCUUAUGAAGAUGGUAUGUCCAUUGUUCUUAUUUAUGGAAAACCAAACAUCUUCGUUACAAUGAUCUGUAGAUCACUUCUGAACUCCAAGAAAGAGAAGAUCGCCCUAACUUGACUACAAGAAUAUUUCGAUCCAAACUUAUGCAAUUGAUGGUUGAUGUCAUUGAUAAAUGCGCAUUGGGAAAUGUUAAGAACAAUUUUGAUCACGAACUCUGGAGUCUUGUCGGAGUUGUCGGAGUUGUACUGAGCUUGUUUAGGAGGAAUGUAUCUCCUCUUUAGCGGGACAGUUGCAGGAUC